rnacentral:rRNA from 1 species
GAUGAACGCUGGCGGCGUGCCUAAUACAUGCAAGUCGAGCGAACGGACGAGAAGCUUGCUUAUCUGAUGUUAGCGGCGGACGGGUGAGUAACACGUGGAUAACCUACCUAUAAGGCUGGGAUAACUUCGGGAAACCGGAGCUAAUACCGGAUAAUAUUUUGAACCGCAUGGUUCAAAAGUGAAAGACGGUCUUGCUGUCACUUAUAGAUGGAUCCGCGCUGCAUUAGCUAGUUGGUAAGGUAACGGCUUACCAAGGCAACGAUGCAUAGCCGACCUGAGAGGGUGAUCGGCCACACUGGAACUGAGACACGGUCCAGACUCCUACGGGAGGCAGCAGUAGGGAAUCUUCCGCAAUGGGCGAAAGCCUGACGGAGCAACGCCGCGUGAGUGAUGAAGGUCUUCGGAUCGUAAAACUCUGUUAUUAGGGAAGAACAUAUGUGUAAGUAACUGUGCACAUCUUGACGGUACCUAAUCAGAAAGCCACGGCUAACUACGUG